GACGAACGCUGGCGGCGUGCUUAACACAUGCAAGUCGAACGGAGAUUAUUAAUGAAGCUUGCGAUUUAAUAAUCUUAGUGGCGGACGGGUGAGUAACGCGUGGGCAACCUACCCAUAAGCGGGGGAUAACAGUUGGAAACGACUGCUAAUACCGCAUAAGCUAUUAAGGUCGCAUGACCUAAAUAGUAAAGGUGGCAUUUUAACAAUGCUAUCACUUAUGGAUGGGCCCGCGUCUGAUUAGCUAGUUGGUGGGGUAGUGGCCUACCAAGGCAACGAUCAGUAGCCGGCCUGAGAGGGUGGACGGCCACACUGGGACUGAGACACGGCCCAGACUCCUACGGGAGGCAGCAGUGGGGAAUAUUGGUCAAUGGACAGAAGUCUGAACCAGCCAAGUCGCGUGAAGGAAGAAGGUCUUACGGAUUGUAAACUUCUUUAGCAGGGGAAUAAAAGACGAUACGAGUUAUCGUGUUGAAAGUACUUUGCGAAAAAGGAUACGGCUAACUCCGUGCC
rnacentral:rRNA from 1 species